GUAAGAAAUCAAAUGUACUGGGGGCCUGCAUGCCGUAACGUGCAGAAAGCCGGGAGUCGGCAGACCGCCGCACGGCGCGGUUAACUCUCCCGCUGCGGGAGCGCCGCGUGGAGCAGCAGAGCGCCGAGCGCCAUCCGCGGGACUGCGGCGCCGCCUGGAGCACACCCGGGGCCGCGCCGCCCCCGCUUCUCUCGGAGCCCGGGGGUGGUGGGUAAGGGACCGAUGGCUGCUCUGCUCAUUUUUACUCCCAUCCACAAGCCCAAGGGACUCCCUCAUUAGAAAGCCACAUGCUGUCCAAGUACAGGAAUGAAAGCUGCCAGUACAGAACUGGGAGGUCAGCAAUUCUGCCAAUGAGCUCAUCAGGGUCAGCGUGGAUUCUUCAUACACCCCAGCAGGUGAUACUAUUAAGAUCAUGCUUGCUCUUGUGGUAACCAUUGUUCAGUUCAGGUCUGUUCUGGAAGCACUGAAGGAGUUAAAAGAAUUUUAUUCCAAGGUAAAAUGUAAGGAAUUCUACUUACCUGUAACCUCAUUCAUGUCCAUCAGACUAUCUAAGUAAAAAAAAUUUUCACAUGUUCAGGUAGCACAUUAUGAGUUUCAAAUAACAGCAUGAAAUUGAGACAUUUUCAGCAGUGUGCCAGGAUCUGUUUG
rnacentral:lncRNA from 1 species